rnacentral:rRNA from 1 species
AUUGAACGCUGGCGGCAGGCCUAACACAUGCAAGUCGAGCGGAGCGGCGGACGGGUGAGUAAUGCCUAGGAAUCAGCCUGGUAGUGGGGGAUAACGUCCGGAAACGGGCGCUAAUACCGCAUAAUAUAAGAGGGCACUAGGCGGGAGUAGCUGGUUGGUGGGGUAAAGGCCUACAAAGGCGACGAUCCGUAACGGGUCUGAGAGGAUGAUCAGUCACACUGGAACUGAUACACGGUCCAGAAUCCUACGGGAGGCAGCAGUGGGGAAUAUUGGACAAUGGGCGAAAGCCUGAUCCAGCCAUGCCGCGUGUGUGAAGAAGGUCUUCGGAUUGUAAAGCACUUUAAGUUGGGAGGCGUUACCAACAGAAUAAGCACCGGCUAACUUCGUGCCAGCAGCCGCGGUAAUUC